rnacentral:rRNA from 1 species
UACGAAGGGGGCUAGCGUUGCUCGGAAUCACUGGGCGUAAAGCGCACGUAGGCGGCUUUCUAAGUCAGGGGUGAAAUCCUGGAGCUCAACUCCAGAACUGCCUUUGAUACUGAUGAUCUUGAGUAUGAUUGAGGUGGGCGGAAUGUGUCAUGUAGCGGUGAAAUGCUUAGAUAUGACACAGAACACCGAUUGCGAAGGCAGCUCACUAAGCCAUAACUGACGCUGAUGCACGAAAGCGUGGGGAGCAAACAGG